rnacentral:sRNA from 1 species
CUCCGGUGGACCGGUCUCAAAGACAAUGACGGCGUCCGUGGGACCCUCGGUGCAAUGAGCUUCUUCCAAAGCACGCAUCAGAGUGGGCUCGCGGGGGCCGUCUCCCCGUCAUAUUUUAUCAAGGUUGACCUCGGAUCAGGUAGGAAUACCCGCUGAACUUAAGCAUAUCAAUAAGCGGAGGAAAAGAAACCAACAGGGAUUGCCUCAGUAACGGCGAGUGAAGCGGCAACAGCUCAAAUUUGAAAUCUGGCCUUUGCGGGUCCGAGUUGUAAUUUGUAGAGGAUGUUUCGGGCACCGCCCCGGUUUAAAUUUCUUGGAACAGAAUGUCAGAGAGGGUGAGAAUCCCGUCCUGAACCGGUGGUAGGGUCCAUGUGAAACUCCUUCGACGAGUCGAGUUGUUUGGGAAUGCAGCUCAAAAUGGGUGGUAAAUUUCAUCUAAAGCUAAAUAUUGGCCAGAGACCGAUAGCGCACAAGUAGAGUGAUCGAAAGAUGAAAAGCACUUUGAAAAGAGAGUUAAACAGUACGUGAAAUUGUUGAAAGGGAAGCGCUUGCAACCAGACUUGAGCGCGGCGGUUCCCCCUCCCUUCUGGGAGGGUUAUUCUGUCGUGUCCAGGCCAACAUCGGUUUUGGUGGUCGGUUAAAGGCCCCGGGAAUGUAUCUACUCUUCGGGGAAGACUUAUAGCCCGGGGUGUCAUGCGGCCCACCGAGACCGAGGAACGCGCUUCGGCGAGGAUGUUGGCGUAAUGGUUGUAAGCGACCCGUCUUGAAACACGGACCAAGGAGUCUAACAUCUAUGCGAGUGUUAGGGUGUCAAACCCUUACGCGGAAUGAAAGUGAACGGAGGUAAGAAGCCUCAAGGCUGCAUUAUCGACCGAUCCUGAUGUCUUCGGAUGGAUUUGAGUAAGAGCAUAGCUGUUGGGACCCGAAAGAUGGUGAACUAUGCCUGAAUAGGGUGAAGCCAGAGGAAACUCUGGUGGAGGCUCGCAGCGGUUCUGACGUGCAAAUCGAUCGUCAAAUUUGGGUAUAGGGGCGAAAGACUAAUCGAA